CGCAGCUAGAAAAUGCACGUGUGUGCAUGCACGUACGCUGCGCAGUAAAAGGCGAUUGGACAUGGAAAUGUUAUGCAAAUGUGCAUUAUGAUGUCAUGACCAGGUGUAACCUAGCGUUCAUGAGCAUCAGAAAAACUAAGGAUGAGCGUAUUUGAGCAGGAGAGCUUAGAGAGAUGCCUGUGCUCCAGGUUAGAAAGAGCCCAGGUGGACCUCGCUGACCGCAUGCAGCAGCUGGACAAACAUUUUCUGUGCAUAGAGAGGGAGCUCCAUGCA